ACUGAUCAUAUCAAUUCCUGCAAGCCUUUGAGUCGCAGCGAUCCUUCUUAUAAAGAGACACUAGAGUUCUUGCACAAAUUGAAAGCUCUUAGUAAACGAUGAUAACUGUACAUAAUCCACAACCAAGGAUAACGGAGUUUUGACAUUCCUUUUUCCUCCGUGAUUCACAUGCAAAUAGUGUAAGUAGUUGAUAUACUCUAGUAGGGACUGGAAGCUCCUUGUGGCCUAGAUUUAUUAAACAAG
rnacentral:misc_RNA from 1 species